UUUGAAUUAAACAGAUGUUAAUCCAGAUGCUAUUCAUUUGGCUGUUUUCACUUAUUUUGGAGGAAGUUGAGACUGAGCCUUUCACAAUCCAAGCUCAAGGUAAAGAAACACCCAAUGAGAGCAUCUCUAUUUUCUAUAAGACCCCCUUUUUUGGACCACAGGGAAUUAGUUUUCUUUGUCUUGUAGCUGGGUGAAAAGGCUUUGGGUAUUAAUUUAGCCUCCUCCCCCUUCUACCAUCAGCACCGAGCCUCAGAAGUCCUAUAUCUCAGCGUUUCUCUCGGCCUGUAUGUAAGUGCAAGUGAAAUGUGUUGUGACCCCUGCUACCUGUGGCUACCAGUGUGUCCUGUUGCACUGUCGCCCUCCCAACAACACCCACAUUUGUGUAGCUUUCCGGGGGAGGGCUGGGGAUCCGUCUCCUCCCCCCUCCCCCCAGUUAAUGAAUGUUGUUGAAAAUCACAAUCAAGUUCCUGUGUUGUUAAUUUUGCUCCCUUUCCUUCCACCACUUUGUCAUCUCCUACAUCGCCAAAAUUCAAAGUGUAGCAAAAAAGGGGCCUAUUUUACCCACAUUUUGGUCAUGUGGCCCUGUUGGAAUUGACGUUGAAUGCACUUUGACGUGAGAUUGUGUGGGAUGUGUACUUUGUAGAGAAAAUCGCCUGCAUUCCAUCCAUUCGAAUGUCAUCUUUUCACAACCUUGUUAUUGCCCUCCCCAUUUUUAGCCAUUUGUUUAUACUGUAGCUCUCACAUUGGGAUAGACUGUCUAUUAAAUCGGGAGGGUGCAACUCUGGAUUUCAAACGUUCUUUACACUGUAUUUGUGAACAUUUCAGAGCUGUUGAUUUUAGGUGGCGAGUAUUUUGGGUGGUAUAUUAGAAACAUUCUGUUUCCGUUCAUAUGGCACUGUUCGCUCAUUCAGCACAUAAGCUGUUUCCCCUCCCCCCAGACACACACAGAUGGUGAUUUGUGUUGCUAAAAGAAAAAAAUGUUAGUCUGAAAGGUCUGGACUAAGUGAUGACUGUGUGAGAUUUUGGCCAAAGGGAGGUCUGGAGCACCGACUGUUUGAGAAUUUGUUUCAACUUCAGUUUAAAACCGUUUUUUUCAGCCUUCUACUUUUUAAAUUAGCUAUUUCCAUGGUCUUGUAAAAAAGAGACUUAUCCAUAUGUGUGCAUUGAAGGUGCAUUGCCUUACAAAGACCUCAUUGUCAUGAAUUUUGAGCCAUUUUUUAAAACUAAUAUCAGGCUUAUUUGAGCCAGCCUGGCUCGUGUGCUGCCUGGACCCUCACUGGAGGAGUCCAUAUUCCAGCCUGGUCGCUUCAAACCUUCAAACUCCUCCUGGUGUGGGGGUUAGAGUGCCUCAAUUGCCACAUAUCACCCCUCAGCUCAGACCUCCUGUUCAGCCAAGAGCAUGCUGCUAGCUGACCCCCCUAUGGAUGCAGGUAGACUUAAUGUGACACAUAUCAUCAUCCAUCACUGCGAGGAGCUGCGUGUGGAAGGCAGGGAUGGGGAGCUGGUGUGAGAGAGGGGGGGCCAGGGCCGAACUCUUUUUGUUCAGGGCAGCUAAAAUCCCUCCAGCCCCCUCUCUGGACUUCUUCAACAUCCCCCUACCAAGCUCUUGACUCUCCCUCAGCAGUGAUGGAUAAAAAAGAACCAGCACACGCGCUUGCCGUGCUUAAGCUGCACUAGGGGGGGCUAGUGAGAGUGGAAACAUAGAUCAAAGAUGAAGAAUUGAGGGUACUAGGCCAUUGUUUUCUGUUUUCAUCUCACUGGAUUGUGCUGCACUCGAUUACUGAGUUUGAGUAGCAACUUUGUUUACAUGCAUAUGAAAGAGUGUGAUGGCUGUCUGAUGUACUCCCACCUCACUCCUGGUUGUGGGGCUGAACGGUUAACGGCAAGCUGGAGCAGAUGCUGGGGGCGGCUACGGGCUGCGUUUGGGCUUUAGCUGCUGGCCGAAUCUGUCACAGCAGGCUGGUUCCACCGCUCAUCACCAGUCCGACGGGUGUUUUAAGCUCCCGUAAGCCCGAGAGGAUCAUGGGCUAUAGCCUUUGACGCACUGCAACCCCCUAACCACCAUAUUCCCCUGCUCUCUGCUGAAGCUCCCUUUUUAGCAAUCUGAAAAAGCAGUGAUUCCAUGUUGGCCAGAUGGGAGAGGAGCUCGCCCACAGCUUUGGUUUCCAUGAUGGACACCAGCUUUAAAUUCGCACUGCUCCAUUAUAGCUUUUUUUAUGUCAUGUGACAAGGUGUUAUGAGAUUGGUCUAUAUUUCGAACACGAGAUGAUCGUCUCGUCUUCACUUUUCUAUAGAUGUAUUUUAUGGUCACGCUGGUAGAUAUGAUUUUUUUCCAUCUUUCCACUCUACCAUCCCCAUUUUCUCCUCUUUAUCUUUUUUAAGAGGAUUUUUUAGUCUGGUUAUCUAACCCCUUUUAACAGACUUUUCUUUUUUUUUUUUUUUUUUAGAGCUACAAAAAAAAGAAAUUAACCCAAAUCCCCUUGGACACCUUCUCAACUGUACUACCACCACCCAAAAUGGUUUUUAAGUCCUAGGUAAUGAUUAUUUCAAUGGCACCCAUUCAGCUUGUGCGCACAUAGGUUACAAAAUUGUUGUGAGAGUGCUUCGAGUAGUCAGAGGUAAAAUAGCACAUAAAAUGCACUAAAUAUGUCAAGUUGAAGUUGUGUGACAUUUUUUUUGAGACGCGAGGAGUCUCUCCUGGAAUGUAUUGCCAAACUCAGGCCUCGGACAUUCAAUAAAUACCCUCGUGGAGAAGUUGUGCAUGUUAAGACAUGAAACAGGAAGGGAACAGCAGUUUCGUUGUAUUUGUUGUUGUCGUUAAAAUUGUCGUGGAUUAGUUGAAUUAUUAGCACUUUCACAUUUGAGUGUUUUACAUAUUGUAGAAUGUAUUGUAACUGUACAACAUAUGGUAGAGUACAUAACAUUACACAUGGGAAGUGCCAAUAAUUGCUAUCCUGAGGUGUUUUUUUUUUUUUUUUUUUUUUUUUUUUUUUAGAUUUAUUCCUUUUUUGUAUUUCAUCUUUUAACAUGGAUAACGCUUUUCGUAAGUGAAGCCAUUUGUGAUGGGAAGUGUUGGAAAGGACCAAAGUUGUUUUGGUAAAAAAAAAUAUUAGUUUCCAUGAUCUGUAAUUGUAGACGUAUCCUUUGUUUUUCUUUUCAUUUUUUCCCUCUUUUUUUUUUUUUUCUUCUAUUUACGUACAAAACCAGAAAAUAGACAAAAAAAUCUGAGCUUACCCAAGAAGAAAAGCGGUCUAUCUUGUGAUCUCAUGUCAGUACAUCUUUAUCGUGUUCGGUUUCUUUUCCUUGGGUAUGUUGUGAUGAACUGCUGUAAAUUUGUACAGUUCAUGUAAAUUGAUUGUGCGGAAGUUGUACAGAUUUCUAUAUUUUGGAAGAAAAGUUUUUUUUUCUCUGUAAUAAAAGAUUUCCUAUCUUGGCAUCAUA